GUAGGUGGCAAGCGUUAUCCGGAUUUAUUGGGCGUAAAGGGAACGCAGGCGGUCUUUUAAGUCUGAUGUGAAAGCCUUCGGCUCAACCGGAGAAUUGCAUCAGAAACUGUUGAACUUGAGUGCAGAAGAGGACAGUGGAACUCCAUGUGUAGCGGUGGAAUGCGUAGAUAUAUGGAAGAACACCAGUGGCGAAGGCGGCUGUCUGGUCUGCAACUGACGCUGAGGCUCGAAAGCAUGGGUAGCGA
rnacentral:rRNA from 1 species